rnacentral:rRNA from 1 species
AGGACGUUCCCCUUCGGGGGACAGAGUGACAGGUGGUGCAUGGUUGUCGUCAGCUCGUGUCGUGAGAUGUUGGGUUAAGUCCCGCAACGAGCGCAACCCUUGUCCUUAGUUGCCAGCAUUCAGUUGGGCACUCUAAGGAGACUGCCGGUGACAAACCGGAGGAAGGUGGGGAUGACGUCAAAUCAUCAUGCCCCUUAUGACCUGGGCUACACACGUGCUACAAUGGAUGGUACAAAGGGCUGCAAAACCGCGAGGUCUAGCCAAUCCCAUAAAACCAUUCUCAGUUCGGAUUGUAGGCUGCAACUCGCCUACAUGAAGCUGGAAUCGCUAGUAAUCGUGGAUCAGCAUGCCACGGUGAAUACGUUCCCGGGUCUUGUAACACACCGAAUGGGAAACCGGGGCUAAUACCGGAUG